CUAGUUUGUGUGUGUGUGUGUGUGUGUGUGUGUGUGUAUAUAUAUACACACACACACACACACACACACACAUACAUACAUAC
rnacentral:miRNA from 1 species